rnacentral:rRNA from 1 species
GAUGAACGCUAGCGGCAGGCUUAACACAUGCAAGUCGAGGGGGUUAGAAGCAGCUUGCUGCUUUGAGACCGGCGCACGGGUGCGUAACGCGUAUGCAAUCUACCUUUUUACAGAGGGAUAGCCCAGAGAAAUUUGGAUUAAUACCUCAUAGUAUGUGAGAAUCGCAUGGUUUUUCACAUUAAAGUUCCAACGGUAAAAGAUGAGCAUGCGUCCCAUUAGCUAGAUGGUAAGGUAACGGCUUACCAUGGCGACGAUGGGUAGGGGUCCUGAGAGGGAGAUCCCCCACACUGGUACUGAGACACGGACCAGACUCC